rnacentral:ncRNA from 1 species
UAACAGGGGAGCCCGUGUUUCGGGCUGAGAAAAAGGAAUGAACCUGAUACCCUCGUACCUGAUUUGGAUUAUGCCAACGUAGGGAGUUA